rnacentral:lncRNA from 1 species
GCAGAAUUGGGCCCUAAACUGAGGAAAGCUUGUUUGAAAAAAGACAGUGUCCAAAGUCCAAAGUAAGGUAAAGUUUUCUUUCCCCCACCAAAAAAUGGUGUGGGUUAUAUGUUAUUUUUUUUUCUUUUUUCUUAUUUUUUUUCCUUCUUGAUCCUCAGUUAUUUAUUCUGAUACCAUGUUUGGUACAUAUUUUAUCCACUGGCUGGUUCAGCUGUCACUGAGGGUGAUUACUGCCAAAGGCAGGGUCUGUCUAAUUAAUGUUUUCCUUCUCAUCUGCUGAAUUUAUAGAGCCAUUGAAGAUAAAUAUGGAUGCUCUGUGGCAUUUAGACCCCAGAUUAUACUUGCUCAUACAUAGUCACCAGGGAGACUUUUGCUGCAUCUUAUUAUGGCCUAAAGACACCAAAACACUCAAACAGGAAGAAAGAAGAAAAAUAUCUUUACCACCACCAAGUACUGCUCUAAAACUGAAGUGAGCGGGAGAGAUGAGUCUGGGCUCAGGUAUAAUGCUGGCUGCACCAAUUCAAAUGCAUCAGGAUCAGUACUCCUGUCCCAUCCGUGCAACUCCGUUGACUUCAAGAUGCUGGUUAAUCUUGCUAGUCUUGAGAGCCAAAGCACGAACACAGCUAUGACAUAAAAGGGUUUUUAUUAUGCUUUUAAUCACAUGGCUUCUGUAGCCAUAUUUUGUGACGUUUUACUCUAGAUUCAGAUGAACUGAUCAUCUGGGCUUCCUUCAAAGAAAACUGCAUAACGUACACGUGUAGAUUGACCUGUAUAUUUUAUAGCUAUCAAAUGGGCUGGGGCUGUUCGCUGUGCUCAGUCCAUUGCUCAGCUGGUUAAAAGGGGGUGCAAAGUACAAACAACUGUUAACACUCCUCAUUUGCCUUUGCAAGCACAGUGCCCUUGCAGUUUGUGGCAACCGCUGACCAUGUUGUUCGGGUGAAAGGGAACUGCCUGUCAUCAGGCAGAAAAUGACAUCAUUGAUCUGUUAGUUGGCCGUUUGUCUGUGUUCAGCAGUUGUGAAAACAUACCACAGGGUUUAUCAGAGACAAACAAAGGCUUGGUUCUGCUCCUACUAAAGUUGGUGGUUAAGCCCCUCGCCCCGCUUUUCUGACAUCAGUGGGAGCAGGACCUGGCGCAGAAAUACUUUCUCUUAAUAACUAAAGGCCUACUUUCCACAUACUUGAAUUUACAGCGCAGUUGGACUAUUUUGGAGGACUAAAGGCACUUUAAAACUGUCUUUUAAUGCAAAGUAUUUACUAUGGAUUAUCUGCAUGGAAUACAGUGUUAAUAUUAAAAAUCUUUUUGGACUGUUUUGUUUUCAAAAUAAAACAUGCAAAGAAUUAUUAGUCA